rnacentral:tRNA from 1 species
GGAGAGGUGCCUGAGUGGUCGAAAGGAGCAGUUUGCUAAACUGUCGUACCGGCAACGGUACCGCGGGUUCGAAUCCCGCCCUCUCCG